GGAUGCGAUCAUAUAAGCACUAAAGCACCGGAUCCCAUCAGAACUCUGAACUUAUGCGUGCUUGGUCGAGAGUAGUACUAGGAUGGGUGACCUCUUGGGAAGACCGGGGUAACAUGUC
rnacentral:rRNA from 2 species